rnacentral:rRNA from 1 species
UACGUAUGUCCCAAGCGUUACCCGGAAUCACUGGGUGUAAAGGGUUCGUAGGUGGGGAAAUAAGUUGGAUAUGAAAGACCGAAGCUCAACUUCGUGUUUGUCUCCAAAACUGUUUUCCUAGAAUCAGGGAGAGGUAAGCGGAAUUCUAAGUGUAGGGGUGCAAUCCGUAGAUACUUAGAGGAACACCAAAAGCGAAGGCAGCUUACUGGAACUGUAUUGACACUGAGGAACGAAAGCGUGGGUAGCGAAAAGGAUUAGAUACCCUUGUAGUCCACGCCCUAAACGAUGAUAACUAAGUGUUGGGAAUAUUCCCAGUGCUGUAGCUAACGCGUUAAGUUAUCCACCUGAGGAGUACGGUCGCAAGAUUAAAACUCAAAGGAAUAGACGGGGACCCACACAAGCAGUGGAUCACGUGGUUUAAUUCGACAAUAAACGGGGAACCUUACCCAGGCUUGACAUCUACCGAAUCUUUCAGAGAUGAGAGAGUGCUUUUAUUAGAGCGGUAAGACAGGUGCUGCAUGGUUGUCGUCAGCUCGUGCCUUGAGGUGUUCGGUUAAGUCCGUUAACGAGCGCAACCCAUGUCGUUAGUUAUUAUGUCUAACGAGACUGCCUUGGUUAACAAGGAGGAAGGUGUGGAUGACGUCAAAUCAGCAUGGCUUUUACGCCUGGGGCUACACACAUGAUACAAUGGUAUGUACAAAGAGUAGCAAUCUGGUAACAGUGAGCUAAUCUUAAAAGCAUAUCUCAGUCCGGAUUGAGGUCUGCAACUCGACCUCAUGAAGUUGGAAUUGCUAGUAAUCGUGAAUCAGAUAUGUCACGGUGAAUAUGUUCCUGGGUC